GGUAGGGUGGCCGAGCGGUCUAAGGCGCUGGUUUAAGGCACCAGUCUCUUCGGAGGCGCGGGUUCGAAUCCCGCCCCUGCCA